rnacentral:rRNA from 1 species
UACGUAGGGUGCAAGCGUUAUCCGGAAUUAUUGGGCGUAAAGAGCUCGUAGGCGGUCUGUCGCGUCUGGUGUGAAAACUCAAGGCUUAACCUUGGGCCUGCAUCGGGUACGGGCAGACUAGAGUGCGGUAGGGGAGACUGGAAUUCCUGGUGUAGCGGUGAAAUGCGCAGAUAUCAGGAGGAACACCGGUGGCGAAGGCGGGUCUCUGGUCCAGCUCUGACGCUGAGGCGCGAAAGCGUGGGUAGCAAACAGG